AUGGAACAUAAAAUCAUGGAUUGAAUUUUAAAAGAAAUGACAAACAAUAUUAAAGAAGAUAGGAAGAACCAGGAUGGGCCUAUUGCUAUGUAUUAGUGACUGAAACAGGGAUUGGUGGGCUAGAUUAUAGAGGAUUUCAUGGGGUCUGACUUCCAACAGGUGGCAAGCUUUAGUCCUCUUCAGAUGCAAAACCUUAACGAGUUUGAGUAUGCAAGUCUGGAGGAUUCUGUUCAAGGCCUCUUCUCAGUAAUCACGGAAACGAUGUUCUGGGUUUAAGCGUCCUUGGCAAGUUAGCAAGCAGGGUACUGUGUGCACCUGUCCCCUGAAGGGGAUUCUGGCCUGAUACUGAAUGCCCACCAUGCUUUCUUGACAGCCCAACCUGCCGCUGUAGCGCCUCCAGACAAAUGAGGGAAGCCCACUAGUAAGUGCUCACGACCAAGCAAGCCACAAAUGCCCAGGGUGUGGAAUUUCCACCUCAGUACCGUGCCUGAACACUGAAAAUAGGCGCCACUCAACCCAUACUGCAAUGGGAUUCCCCCCAGCAGCAAUCCACCUCCCCCCUCCACACCCCAGCUUGCAUGUUUUAUUAAUAAAUGCAAGAUGGCACACGGAGGCAAAGAACGGGAGCUAAAGCAUCUGCAGCUGGACCCCAACCAGAGCAGUUUGCAAAAAUAAAUAAGAAGCAUGUGACAAGAAGCAGAUUCCCCAGGCUGGAGCUGAAGCCCUGGAUUUCCCCACACACCCUCCUCCUGCUUCCCUCAGCAAGCCAGGAUGAAGAUAUACCUACUUCUAACGUGGCUGUCGUUGGUCAUAUCCCACUCCAAAACAUCUUUUGAGGUUGUGACCUCAGAGUUGUGAGAUCAAGCCCGGAAUUGGUCUCCACAUUCAGCGUGGAAUCCCCCUGACGUUCCCUCCCUCCACCCC
rnacentral:lncRNA from 1 species